ACAGUUCUUAUCCCAUCUUAAAAUGUCAGAUUGGCUAUUUCAUAUUUAAAACUUCAGUGACUCCUGAAGGCAUUUGAGUUUGUGGUCCUAGAGUUUUCUAACUAUAUAGUCUCUUGAGUCUCAAGUCAUAGAUUACUUUCAGAAUGAUAAAGUCACAUUUUGUGAUUAGUUUAUCUCAUUUGAAAAUGGUAUAAAUUCCCACUCCAGCCUGGGUGACAGAGUGAGACUGUCUCAAAAAAGAAAAGAAAAGAAAAGAAAAGAAUAGUCAUUUAAAUUCAACAAUACAGAAAAUGGAAGAUGCCAGAUGCCUCAAAUGUAGUUAGAUUUAUCCCUGAAAAACAGUAUUAGUGUAUUAUUUGAAAAAUCAAUCAAUCUAAUUCUUUGCAUUCACAGAAUUAAAGUGAAAAAUUAUGUGAUUAUCUUAC
rnacentral:lncRNA from 1 species